CUUUCUGUCAUUUCAAUCAAAUGAAUUGCAUUACAUUUUAUCAAUUAAUAUCGGCAGUUAAUGACAAUAGACGUGUCCAGUGUUUUGAUAAAGUUGAAUUACGCGUGAAAUGAAAACUCAUGUGUUUGUACAUUAGUGAUCUGUGGCUAUUGGAUUUUUCGAUGCUGAGAAUUGGGAUAAAAAAUAUGUUCCUAUUGAUAAGUCCGAUAUCUACUCACAUUUGAUUUGCGGUGUUCGAUACACUGUACUUGCCGUACGCUUGCAAUCCGAGGAGCGCUGCAUUUGUAAGUUUAUAAGUAAAUUAUAUUAUUCGGUUAAAAUGUUUUAUCACAUUUCACCUGCGUAUUGCAAUAGCCCACGAAUUAGGGGGGCCGUAUAAAUUUCACAUAAUGGUAAUAUGGAAAACGGAUCAUAUUUCGGAA